rnacentral:rRNA from 1 species
UACGUAGGUGGCAAGCGUUGUCCGGAUUCACUGGGCGUAAAGAGCGCGCAGGCGGUUGUGCAAGUCGCGUGUGAAAGCCCCCGGCUCAACUGGGGAGGGUCACGCGAUACUGUUCGACUUGAAGGCAGGAGAGGGAAGUGGAAUUCCCGGUGUAGUGGUGAAAUGCGUAGAUAUCGGGAGGAACACCAGUGGCGAAGGCGACUUCCUGGCCUGUUCUUGACGCUGAGGCGCGAAAGCUAGGGUAGCAAACGGG